CAGUAGCCGCGGGAAUACGUAGGUGGCAAGCGUUGUCCGGAAUUAUUGGGCGUAAAGGGCUCGCAGGCGGUUUCUUAAGUCUGAUGUGAAAGCCCCCGGCUCAACCGGGGAGGGUCAUUGGAAACUGGGAAACUUGAGUGCAGAAGAGGAGAGUGGAAUUCCACGUGUAGCGGUGAAAUGCGUAGAGAUGUGGAGGAACACCAGUGGCGAAGGCGACUCUCUGGUCUGUAACUGACGCUGAGGAGCGAAAGCGUGGGGAGCGAACAGGAUUAGAACCCCCGUAGUCCCUGUCUCUUAUACA
rnacentral:rRNA from 1 species